GACGAACGCUGGCGGUGCGCCUAACACAUGCAAGUCGAACGGUGAAGCGGGCUUCGGCCCGUGGAUCAGUGGCGAACGGGUGCGUAACACGUGGGCAACCUGCCCCUCACUCUGGGAUAACUCCGGGAAACCGGGGCUAAUACCGGAUACUCCGACCGAACCGCAUGGCUCGGCCGGGAAAGGUCCGCCGGUGAGGGAUGGGCCCGCGGCCUAUCAGCUUGUUGGUGGGGUAACGGCCUACCAAGGCGACGACGGGUAGCUGGUCUGAGAGGACGACCAGCCACACUGGGACUGAGAUACGGCCCAGACUCCUACGGGAGGCAGCAGUGGGGAAUCUUGCGCAAUGGGCGAAAGCCUGACGCAGCGACACCGCGUGAGGGACGAAGGCCCUCGGGUUGUAAACCUCUUUCGGCAGGGACGAAGCGAUUGUGACGGUACCUGCAGAAGAAGCUCCGGCUAACUACGUGCCAGCCGCCGCAGUAAGAC
rnacentral:rRNA from 1 species